rnacentral:rRNA from 1 species
GUGGAUUAGAUACCCUAGUAGUCCACGCCCUAAACGUUGCAUACUCGGUUUUAGCGAUAUACCGUUAGGACCCAAGCGAAAGCGUUAAGUAUGCCACCUGGGAAGUACGUCCGCAAGGAUGAAACUCAAAGGAAUUGACGGGGGCCCGCACAAGCGGAGGAGCAUGUGGUUUAAUUCGAUGAUACGCGAGGAACCUUACCUGGGCUUGAAUGUGAGUGACCGCUGCCGAAAGGUGGCUUCCCUUCGGGGCACAAAACAAGGUGCUGCACGGUCGUCGUCAGCU